GCCGAGGUAGCUCAGCUGGUUAGAGUGCCACGCUCAUAACGUGGAAGUCGCGGGUUCAAGUCCCGCCCUCGGCA
rnacentral:tRNA from 2 species